rnacentral:rRNA from 1 species
CUUGCUGGAUGCUGACGAGCGGCGGACGGGUGAGUAAUGCAUAGGAAUCUGCCCGAUAGUGGGGGAUAACCUGGGGAAACCCAGGCUAAUACCGCAUACGUCCUACGGGAGAAAGGGGGCUCCGGCUCCCGCUAUGGGAUGAGCCUAUGUCGGAUUAGCUAGUUGGUGAGGUAACGGCUCACCAAGGCCACGAUCCGUAGCUGGUCUGAGAGGAUGAUCAGCCACAUCGGGACUGAGACACGGCCCGAACUCCUACGGGAGGCAGCAGUGGGGAAUAUUGGACAAUGGGGGAAACCCUGAUCCAGCCAUGCCGCGUGUGUGAAGAAGGCCCUCGGGUUGUAAAGCACUUUCAGCGAGGAAGAACGCCUAACGGUUAAUACCCGCUAGGAAAGACAUCACUCGCAGAAGAAGCACCGGCUAACUCCGUGCCAGCAGCCGCGGUAAUACGGAGGGUGCAAGCGUUAAUCGGAAUUACUGGGCGUAAAGCGCGCGUAGGUGGCUUGAUAAGCCGGUUGUGAAAGCCCCGGGCUCAACCUGGGAACGGCAUCCGGAACUGUCAAGCUAGAGUGCAGGAGAGGAAGGUAGAAUUCCCGGUGUAGCGGUGAAAUGCGUAGAGAUCGGGAGGAAUACCAGUGGCGAAGGCGGCCUUCUGGACUGACACUGACACUGAGGUGCGAAAGCGUGGGUAGCAAACAGGAUUAGAUACCCUGGUAGUCCACGCCGUAAACGAUGUCGACCAGCCGUUGGGUGCCUAGCGCACUUU